ACCGUGAUGGGUGAGAUAUCAAAGCUGUGGUUGUGCAAAAUCACAAAGAAACCCUUAGGCUCAAGUAGGGUAAAGGGUUGGAAUACUCCUAGCACGAGAUGGACAACUAACAAGAAAUUGGGUCAAGGGUAAUUUAGUUUUUAAAAUUACUACCUAGACAAAUAUCUCCAUUGAACACUGAGUUACGGGUAUUAUAUUUAUACAUUUAGCUAUUGGCGUUAGGGAGUUUGUAGCUAGAGUUAAUAAGAUCAAGGCAUUGCUAUUUUGGAUAUGGUUUUUGAAAUUUUUAGUUUGGAAGAAGGGGACCCUUUUGGCAUUCUAAUCUCACUAUGUGAAGCUCGUAUGGAUGGAGCCUAAUUUGUUUACACUUCUAGGUCCUUUGAUUUUUUUCUUCUAGUCUUAUUUAUGGUGAAAUAAAGUUCUUUUUACCAAAAACCCUCUAAUUUUGUAAUUGUUCAUGUUAUCUUUGCAGCUUCUAGGUAACAAUCAUGGGUUUAGUGAUCCCAUGGAGCUUGACAUUUGCACUGGUGGAUGUGUAUUCUAUCGUUUAUAAACGUCCAUCUCAUCAGCCUGGAGUAAUGUCAGUCAUCAUCAUAGGAGAUUGGGUUCUCUCAUUUCCGUCGCUGGCUGCAGCCUGCUCGACAGCUAGUGUGACGGAUGUCAUGAUCGAUAAAACCUUCUUAUGCAGUGUACAGAUGUGCAGUAGAUAUCAACUGUCUGGUGCCAUGGCCUUCUUGUCUUGGUUACUCUCAUUAGCCUCCUCUCUCAUCAAUCUCUGGCUUGUCCCUUGUCUGUAAUUUGUAUAUUUGCCGGGUUGUAUUGCCAUGGGUAGAAAAAUACAUUAAAAUGGGCUAGAUUAAAAUUUGAUACUAUUGUACAAUGAUAGUGGUCAAUCUUUACAGGAAAUCUUGAGUGAUAAAAUUAAAUUUUGAUUUUCACAGAGCUUGGUGAGCUCAAACUUAAUCUAAUGUAAUAUAACCCUUGGUACCAAAAUUUUAAUUUAAAUCUUCCAAGUGUGCAGUUCUCGAUUAUUGUUUU